UCUGCUUAGAUGGGUCUGAGAUUGAUAUUGAGCUCUCUCGAUUCAUGAAAGGAUACUUUGAAGGGCAUAUUCAUGAAGAUGGUUGGCCACAGUUAUUGAAAUUGAAGGAUUGGCCUUCACCUAGUGCAUCUGAAGAAUUUCUAUUGUACCAAAGACCUGAGUUUAUCAGCAAACUACCUUUACUUCAGUAUAUUCACUCCAAGUGGGGCAUUCUCAAUGUUGCAGCUAAAUUGCCUCAUUACUCCUUGCAGAAUGACGUAGGACCCAAGAUAUAUAUAUCUUAUGGGAUUAGUGAUGAACUUGGUAGAGGUGACUAGGUGACAAAUCUCCACUUUAAUAUGCGUGACAUGGUGUACCUUUUGGUUCAUACAAAUGAAGUAAAGCUGAAGGAGUGGCAGAGAACUAAAAUUGAAAUGACGCAAG